AUGAGUUCUUGUAUCAGCUCAUUUCCAAUUGGUCAGUUUUAUGAGAGGAAGAUUUUAGGUGGUCCAAAUGUCGUGUCUCCUUCCUAUAAUAAGGAAUACACAAGCCUCCCUUUUGGCAGCUACACUUUUAUAAAUGUCACCGAUGGAAGGGAAGACAAAGAUGGCACUGAAAACAGUUGGAGGAACAUGGCUGAAGUUGCUAUCGUUUUGCAUCUGAUCCAAAACAUCUUAAAAUCCUGGAGAGGGUCAGCAGGCCAAGGGCUCAGUAUCGGUGUGGUCUCUCCAUAUAGCUGUCAAGUUGGUGUAAUUAAAGAUAGACUCGGCAACAAAUACGAUACAUGUGAUGGCUUUCAUGUGAGAUCAAGUCCAUUGAUGGUUUCCAAGGCGAAGAGGAUGAUAUAA
rnacentral:rRNA from 1 species